UUUUUCUUCCUGAUGAAAACUACCACGGAUGUCGAGCACUCAGUGUUCAUUUGUCCGAGAGCGCAAAACCCCAUGUGGAUACUCCCGUUGCCUUCCUUCUGACCUAUACU
rnacentral:snoRNA from 1 species